rnacentral:rRNA from 1 species
UGUAAUCUCACUCCACUGGCUUUUGCUGAUGGAUGUGGACCUGGACUCUGUUGUGUUACUACAACUGGUCUGAAAUGCAUGAGUGCAUCCUGCCGUUGCUGUGUUUUCAGUGUGAUAAGCAUCUUCACUGGACCAAGUUCCCUUUGGGACAUGCAUGCAUUGUGGGCUCUCUGUGCUGGCCAACUGUCUUUGGACAACCUUGACAAUUUGACCUCAGAUCGGGUGGGACUACCCGCUGAACUUAAGCAUAUCAAUAAGCGGAGGAAAAGAAACUAACAAGGAUUCCCCUAGUAACGGCGAGUGAAGAGGGAAAAGCUCAAAUUUUGAAUCUGGUGUCUUUGGCGCCUGAGUUGUAAUCUAGAGAAGUGUUUUCUGCCUCGGACCACACAUAAAUUCCCUGGAAUGGGGUGUCAUAGAGGGUGAGAAUCCCGUUUGUGGUGUGGACUACCUUGGCUCUGUGAUACACUCUCAACGAGUCGAGUUGUUUGGGAAUGCAGCUCAAAAUGGGUGGUAAAUUCCAUCUAAAGCUAAAUACUGGCGAGAGACCGAUAGCGAACAAGUACCGUGAGGGAAAGAUGAAAAGCACUUUGGAAAGAGAGUGAAACAGUACGUGAAAUUGUUGAAAGGGAAGCGUUUGAAGUCAGUCACAUUGGUUGGAAUUCAGCCUGGCUUCUGCCUGGUGUACUUUCUGGCAAAUGGGUCAGCAUCAAUUUUGACCGAGGGAGAAAGACUUGAGGAAUGUGGCUGUCUUCGGGCAGUGUUAUAGCCUCUUGUUGUAUGUCUCGGUUGGGAUUGAGGAUCGCAGCACGCCCUAUGGCCGGGGUUCGCGCCCUCGGUACGUGCUUAGGAUGCUGGCAUAAUGGCUUUAAGCGACCCGUCUUGAAACACGGAC